GACGAACGCUGGCGGCGUGCCUAAUACAUGCAAGUCGAACGAAGCUGUUUUAACUGGUGCUUGCACCGACUUAAACAACUGAGUGGCGAACGGGUGAGUAACACGUGGGUAACCUGCCCCAAAGCGGGGGAUAACAUUUGGAAACAGAUGCUAAUACCGCAUAACCACAGAAACCACAUGGUUUCUGUGUCAAAGAUGGUUUCGGCUAUCACUUUGGGAUGGACCCGCGGCGUAUUAGCUAGUUGGUAAGGUAAUGGCUUACCAAGGCAAUGAUACGUAGCCGACCUAGGGGGUUGAUCGGCCACAUUGGGACUGGGACACGGCCCAAACUCCUACGGGAGGCAGCAGUAGGGAAUCUUCCACAAUGGACGAAAGUCUGAUGGAGCAACGCCGCGUGAGUGAAGAAGGUUUUCGGAUCGUAAAACUCUGUUGUCAGAGAAGAACGUGUGCGAGAGUAACUGUUCGUGCAGUGACGGUAUCUGGCCAGAAAGCCACGGCUAACUACGUGCCAGCCGCCGCGGUAA
rnacentral:rRNA from 1 species